CGUAAUCAACCUGCCCUUCAGAGGGGGAUAACAACGGGAAACCGUUGCUAAUACCGCGUACGAUUCAUGAACGGCAUCGUUUAUGAAUGAAAGGUGGCCUCUAUGUAUAAGCUAUCGCUGAAGGAGGGGAUUGCGUCUGAUUAGCUAGUUGGAGGGGUAACGGCCCACCAAGGCAAUGAUCAGUAGCCGGUCUGAGAGGAUGAACGGCCACAUUGGGACUGAGACACGGCCCAA
rnacentral:rRNA from 1 species